rnacentral:rRNA from 1 species
ACGUAGGGGGCAAGCGUUGUUCGGAUUUAUUGGGCGUAAAGGGCAUGUAGGCGGUUAUGUAAGUGUGGGUUUAAAGACAUAGGCUUAACCUAUGGAUGGUCUGCAAACUACAUAACUUGAGUACAGAAGGGGAAACUGGAAUUCCGCGUGUAGGGGUGAAAUCUGUAGAGAUGCGGAAGAAUACCUGUGGCGAAGGCGAGUUUCUGGUCUGUUACUGACGCUGAAAUGCGAAAGUGUGGGGAGCAAACAGGAUUAGAUACCCUGGUAGUCCACACCGUAAACGUUGCACACUAGGUGUUGGUGACUAAGUCGCUAGUGCCGUAGCUAACGCGUUAAGUGUGCCGCCUGGGGAGUAUGCUCGCAAGGGUG